AAGUCAAUGGAUCGGUGAGCACGGUAGUGCUAGAAAAUCUAAACCCUCUGACUGAGUACGUCAUCAGUGUUUACGCUGUGGUUGGCAAGCAGAGCAGCGAGCCUCUCAGGGGCACCGAGACCACCCGAGAUGGAUAGGUGCCAUUUGAGCUGGUGGAGGCGUCAUUCAGAAGGAAGUUUAACUCCUCUGCUUCAGCCGUAUGGUCCCAGUUCCCCCAAACCAGUCAGCCACUUAAAAAUACUCCAUCUGUGUUGGACUACGUGUUUCAUGUUGUGGCAUUUCAAAACACAUUUAUAAAUGUGACCACAUUACAAUUCUUGUACUCUCUCUGUUGACCUGAGGAUCAAUAAAAACAACAUGGCUCUCAUGAUCAA